AUUGAACGCUGGCGGCAGGCCUAACACAUGCAAGUCGAGCGGAUGAAGGGAUCUUGCUCCUGGAUUCAUCGGCGGACGGGUAAGUAAUGCCUAGGAAUCUGCCUGGUAGUGGGGGAUAACGUCCGGAAACGGGCGCUAAUACCGCAUACGUCCUGAGGGAGAAAGUGGGGGAUCUUCGGACCUCACGCUAUCAGAUGAGCCUAGGUCGGAUUAGCUAGUUGGUGGGGUAAAGACCUACCAAGGCGACGAUCCGUAACUGGUCUGAGAGGAUGAUCAGUCACACUGGAACUGAGAAAAGGUCCAGACUACUACGGGAGGCAGCAGUGGGGAAUAUUGGACAAUGGUCGAAAGCCUGAUCCAGCCAUGCCGCGUGUGUGAAGAAGGUCUUCUGAUUGUAAAGAACUUUAAGUUGGGAUGAAGGACAGUAAGUUAAUACCUUGCUGUUUUGACGUUACCAACAGAAUAAGCACCGGCUAACUUCGUG
rnacentral:rRNA from 1 species